CAAGCGUGAGGUAAGAGCAUUUGGUGGAUGCCUUGGCACAUACAGGCGAUGAAGGACGUGGCACGCUGCGAUAAGCGUCGGGGAGUUGUGAGCAAACUUUGAUCCGGCGAUUUCCGAAUGGGGAAACCCACCUUCACCAUUUCUCUCGUGUUUUGAGCGGGCGGUUUACCGUUGGUUCAGGGUGUGAGUGAGGUGGAUAAGGUAUCACCGAGGUGAAUAAAAUAGCCUUGGUGAAGCGAACCCGGGGAACUGAAACAUCUCAGUACCUGGAGGAAAAGACAUCAACCGAGAUUCCGUUAGUAGUGGCGAGCGAACGCGGACCAGGCCAGUGCCUCAUCUUCAACUAGCAGAACAGUUUGGAAAGACUGGCCAUAGCGGGUGACAGCCCCGUAUGCGAAAGUGAUGGAUGAGGACUCGAGUAGGGCGGGACACGUGAAAUCCUGUCUGAACAUGGGGGGACCACCCUCCAAGCCUAAAUACUCGUAUGUGACCGAUAGCGAACUAGUACCGUGAGGGAAAGGUGAAAAGCACCCCGAUUAGGGGAGUGAAACAGUACCUGAAACCGAAUGCUUACAAUCAGUUGGAGCCUCUUUAGGGGGUGACAGCGUACCUCUUGCAUAAUGGGUCAGUGACUUAGUCUACCAAGCAAGCUUAAGCCGUUAGGUGUAGGCGCAGCGAAAGCGAGUCUGAAUAGGGCGACAGAGUUUGGUGGAUUAGACCCGAAACCCGGUGAUCUAGGCAUGACCAGGCUGAAGGUGCGGUAACACGCACUGGAGGGCCGAACCGUUGAAUGUUGAAAAAUUCUCGGAUGAGUUGUGUUUAGGGGUGAAAGGCCAAUCAAACCGGGAAAUAGCUGGUUCUCCGCGAAAUCUAUUGAGGUAGAGCGUCGGAUGUAUGCCGUUGGGGGUAGAGCACUGGAUGGAUGCGGGGGUCGCGAGAUCUACCAAUUCUAACCAAACUCCGAAUACCAACGAGACUUAUCCGGCAGACAGACGGCGGGUGCUAAGGUCCGUCGUCAAAAGGGAAACAGCCCUAACCUACAGCUAAGGUCCCCAAGUCAUCACUAAGUGGGAAAGCAUGUGGGAAUCCCAAAACAACCAGGAGGUUGGCUUAGAAGCAGCCAUCCUUUAAAGAAAGCGUAACAGCUCACUGGUCUAAAUAAGGGUUUUUGCGCCGAAAAUGUAUCGGGAAUUAAGCCACUUACCGAAGCUUAGGGUGCAGUCCGCAAGGGCUGCGCGGUAGCGGAACGUUCCGUAAGCCUGUGAAGGUUGACCCGUGAGGGCAGCUGGAGGUAUCGGAAGUGCGAAUGCUGACAUGAGUAACGAUAAACAGUGUGAGAGACACUGUCGCCGAAAGCCCAAGGGUUCCUGCUUAAAGUUAAUCUGAGCAGGGUGAGCCGGGUCCUAAGGUGAGGCCGAGAGGCGUAGCCGAUGGCAAUCAGGUUAAUAUUCCUGAGCUAGUGGUGGGUGACGAAUGCAAGAAGCUAUCCGAUGUUAUUGGAUUCGGAGGGUAGCGCAUGCGUUCCAGGAAAUAGCCCCCACAUCAACCCGUACCCGAAACCGACACAGGUGGGCAGGUAGAGUAUACCAAGGCGCUUGAGAGAACGAUGCUGAAGGAACUCGGCAAAUUACCCUCGUAACUUCGGGAUAAGAGGGCCCCGUCUUUGGGCAACCAGGGGCGGGGGGCACAUACCAGGGGGUAGCGACUGUUUAGCAAAAACACAGGGCUCUGCGAAGUCUAAAGACGACGUAUAGGGUCUGACGCCUGCCCAGUGCCGGAAGGUUAAGAGGAGAGGUUCACGCUUUGAAUCGAAGCCCCGGUAAACGGCGGCCGUAACUAUAACGGUCCUAAGGUAGCGAAAUUCCUUGUCGGGUAAGUUCCGACCUGCACGAAUGGCGUAACGACUUCCCCACUGUCUCCAGCAUCGGCUCAGUGAAAUUGAACUCCCCGUGAAGAUGCGGGGUAAUUGCGGUCAGACGGAAAGACCCCGUGCACCUUUACUAUAGCUUUACACUGGCAUUCGUGCUGGCAUGUGUAGAAUAGCUGGUAGGCUUUGAAGCGGGAGCGCUAGCUCUCGUGGAGCCGCAAUGUGAAAUACCAGCCUUGGCGACAUGGAUGUCUAACCGCGACCCCUGAAUCGGGGUCCGGGACAGUGUAUGGUGGGUAGUUUGACUGGGGCGGUCGCCUCCCAAAGAGUAACGGAGGCGUGCGAAGGUAAGCUCAGACUGGUCGGAAAUCAGUCGUCGAGUGCAAUGGCAUAAGCUUGCCUGACUGCGAGACAAACAAGUCGAGCAGAGUCGAAAGACGGCCAUAGUGAUCCGGUGGUCCCACGUGAGGAGGGCCAUCGCUCAACGGAUAAAAGGUACGCCGGGGAUAACAGGCUGAUGAUUCCCAAGAGUCCAUAUCGACGGAAUCGUUUGGCACCUCGAUGUCGGCUCAUCACAUCCUGGGGCUGGAGAAGGUCCCAAGGGUUCGGCUGUUCGCCGAUUAAAGUGGUACGUGAGCUGGGUUCAAAACGUCGUGAGACAGUUUGGUCCCUAUCUGCCGUGAUUGUAGGAGAAUUGAGAGGAUUUGUCCUUAGUACGAGAGGACCGGGAUGAACACACCUCCGGUGGACCUGUUGUCGCGCCAGCGGCAGUGCAGGGUAGCUAUGUAUGGACGGGAUAACCGCUGAAGGCAUCUAAGCGGGAAACCCACCUCGAAACAAGUUCUCCCUUGAGAACCGUGGAAGACGACCACGUUGAUAGGCCAGGUGUGGAAACGCAGCAAUGCGCGUAGCUUACUGGUACUAAUCGUUCGAUCGGCUUGAUUGC
rnacentral:rRNA from 1 species